GCCGCGCCUUCGCCGCCUCCCCGGCUGCAGCUUGGCCGCCGCCACUCCGCCUCCGCCACGCCGCAACUCCGCCGGAGUCGCAAGUAAGUUUCUAUACUCAGAGACCAAGCAAACAAAUUUCAUAUUCUGCCAGCAUAUACUCAGAGACAAAUAGCUGCCAUCAGGAUUCCUGAAAUUUAUGAGGACAUAUUGAAUUAGUGAGGAUUUCAUAAAUUUUUAGUCCAAGCAACUCAUACAUUUGAAGUUUUGUUGCUUACCUUCCCAUCCCAUUGUGUUGCUAUGCUCCUGAAGUUGCCUAACUACAGGAAAAGGAGGCCAAAGUAUCGGCAGCGAUGUUUUGUUUUGUGAGAACUACUCAAAUAUAUAAUCUAAAUAUACUAGCUGGAUGUUCGGCUACAUUCAUUAUGCCUUUCGGUAAACUUGAUGUUGGAUGAUACCACUGGAUGUAUUUCAGUCUUCUUGAUUGUUUUUGCAUUUGCUCAAAAUCUUUUCACCCAGAGAUUAUUAUGUGGGCUGCUUCAGUCUGUAGGUAAGACUCGCAAAAAAAAGUCUGUAGAUACUUCUAUAAUCAACAGAGAAGAAAAAAACUAAAAUUAGAGCUCUAUAUAACUGUACUGUUUACAUUGAGCAUGACACUGUUUUAAUUUUCAGAGUGGGCUGCCUGCUUGCAGCAGCAGUUUUGCAUCUUUGGCAAAUACAGAAUACCCACCGUUGUUGUUGACCUCCCAGAAUGUUUACACCUUCGUCAUGCUUUACCUGCCAGUAAUUGUCAACAAUGUGUCAAGUCAGUACACAUUUUCUGCUGAUUGCAAGAAUGGCAGCGACCAUGUGACUGAAGUGAGCAAACACGUCCAGGUCCUUUUGGCAUGGUGAGUGUCCUCCCAGCUAGAACAGUUAGAGGUGAAGCAGAGAGCACCGCCAGAAAUAUAAAGCUGCUGAAAGAAAUUACAAAAGCACAAGAACAAUUUAAUAUAAUCCGAAUGAUCAAGCGAAAAGAAUGCAAACAAACUCGCUGGAUGUUCAUCCACUGAAUAGUAGGAGUGCUUUAGUAGUAGUAUCGAUAGAUUAGAGAUAUAAGUGCAGAAAUUAUGAAAGUAAGCCUCCUGGGAUUUGUCACACAAGGGGAAACAAAGAGAAGAGGAAAACACCUACGAGAAUGAAAUACUGGAAGGUCGACAAGUGAUUUCCAUUGCUCACCUCGGCCUGCUAUGAACCUGUGACCGUGACAGUGCCGCCCGUUCUCCUACCCGGCGUCCUAUUCCUCCAUCCCACGUUGCUUACAUGUAACCGUGAAAAGUUAGUUGCUUACAUGUCCAGAUUGGUACUGCAAAGAUCAUGUUGCUGGUAUCCCAUGAAUGCCAGUUGUGUGAUUGUUUCUAGCAAUUUUCGGAGCCUUAUGAUCGUUAUGCAUUUUUGCCUGCAGUUCAUACAUAAUAUUUCCUAUGUCUGCCUUUGGAAGGUUUGCUGCCAUACUAUCGAUUGACAGUGCUUUAUGUGUUCUUCUUGACCGUUGGUGGACUCUAUAUGAAUACUGCUCCAAGAAAUCAAUCCUACCGCCCAUCGCCGCACUGAUCGCUAUGGCAUUUUGGGGGGCGCUUCCUGUUCGCAUAAUGAGUAAAUAAUAUACAUUCCAAUGGGAGGACAAACUUUUGAUGCUGGUGAAUUCUUUACAAUCAUUCCAAUGGCAGCACAAACUGAAGGUAUUUAUGUAGGCACAGAUCAUUGCUACACCAGAAUAAAUUGAGUAUUGAGUAAAUAAGACGCCCAGUUUUAUAAUACAGUCUACCGGUGCUUUCAUUGUGGUUUCACGGUAAUACCACCAUGCCCUCCUUCUGUUAUGAUUGACACAAGGAGUGUCUUACUUGAAAUUUACAGAAUGGUAAGCGCUAUAAUUUAUUGGCGAUCUUGUGCUGUUGGCUGACCCAAACAAGGUACUGUUGAAUUGAGGUGUUGUAAAAGUUUUUUUAAACUCAUGCAUGAGUACAAGUUGAACUAUUUGUAGUAUAUCUUCAUCGUUUCUUAUGAAGUGGAUGGGAGAAAGUGAUAACUGGUCACAGACAUCAUUUGGAAUAAUGUUGGACUCAGGCAUAGUGGUCCCUGAUCUAACGAGCAAAGGGAAACCAUUUACGGAUUUGGUUGUGUCGCAAAUAGCCCGGCAUGCUCUCAUGUAAUUCUUGAUCUACCGCGGAUUAUCCUUUUCUAUAUUAAUGGAACGUCGCACAGUUCUCUUGCGCAUUCAGAAAAAAAUAGUUUUGCAACCUUUAAAUUUUGAUGAAGCCUUUGAUAAUUCUUUUUUAUCUUCUAAUUCUCUUUUGACUGUGCUUAACGUACGACUUACCUAAUAUUAUGAUUUUGCACCACGGUUUCCCUUCGCUGUUUGUAUAUGUUGGGACUAUUGAUUUUUUUUAAGUGAUUUUCAGUUCCUCACAACAGAUUUCUUUUGGAGUUUUUACUGAUCAGUAUGUUGGAGAUCUGCAGAUGACACUUCUUUAUAUGCAAGUGCAAAAAGAUUUCAGGUUCUGUCCUCUUUUCUUUGUUGGAACUAUCAGGUCGCGUCCUCUUGCAAUGCAAGUAUUGUUGAGGACUUGAGGCUCAGAUUUCACUUUUUGGGUUUUUUCUUCCGAGGAAAAAAAAACUUAAUAUUGGUAUGUCCUAGACCUUUUCAUUUGAACUUCAUGAUGCCCUGAUAGAUAUAACAGUUAUUUUGUUUCAGUAAGGAGGAAAAAAAUUGAAUUUGUUUGUCUGACAUUACAUAAUCUCUAAAUAUUGCGGCCGUAUCUUAUAUCUUAACUUUUAGUUUCUCUUUGCCACUAAGCACAAAAUUUUUGUAGGCUACGAAGCACUAGCAUACUACUUAUAAUCUUCCAAUCUGGUUAUGCAAAAGGUGAAUCUGUAUCCAUUAAACUUUGUUAAAUAGUAGGUCCUCUUAACAGUAUGCCUAAAACUAAUUGUUUCUCUGUGUCUAUAGUAUGUUAGUCCAGCUCAAUGGAUGUUCUUGACUAACUGCUAGCUUUAUUUGGUCUUAUCUGAUUCUCUGGUGUUAAUCCACUCCUACAUUGCCAAACUCAGUAUGAUUAAACAUGGAGUAUGUUAUAUACUUUGAUGAUAUUUUCAGAUUUUAAAUACUCCUAUAUGACAAGCACAAUCCCUGGUACUAAUGCUUACUCUUUUUAUUUCGGAUGUUCAAGUGUAGCAUCUAUUGACCAAUGCAAGCUCCAUCAGGAUGUGUGUAGUGUCCAUAAGUUUCUUUUUGGCCAGUACAGUGAGAAAAAUAUAUGGAACGUACAACAAUCCUACAUGAAACAUUCUGAACAAAGUUCUAUAGGGCCAACUUGCAUUUUCAUGUCAAGCAUGGCUGAUUAUCAGAGGGUUUAAUGAUGGAGUAGUAGAAUCAUUGCCUACGAUGAGUUCAACGGGUCGAUGUGCACAUUAACAAGCAUUGCCUGCUGUCUGCCUUCGCCUACUUUGACGAGGACGACAGCAGGUACAUAACCGUUGACCCGCUAGAAGAGGUGUGCUGGGAGUACAACACAGGCUGACGUCGGCAUCACGACAUCAUUAGGGAGGUCGGCAAUGAGAACAUGCGAUGUUCAAAUUGACUAUGGGGAGUUCGUGGCAAUGGUGAAGGGGAUCAUCGAGAAUGGAAGGCUGACCAUCAUUCUCCAUGGAGCAGACGACCUCAGCUAGCCUUUGAUUGAAAUAUUCAUAUACAACACACUAUCUUUGUUCACAUUGUGCUAUAGAUGAUAUCAAUAUUUUUAACCCAAGUCAUUAUUCAUUUUAUUUGUGUAAAGUAACUGAGAAACAAAUUCAUCUAUGUGAUUUGCAUGGUUGCAUCCGUAUGCAAUUUAAGCUGACAUAUUUUUUCAGCUGUUAUUCUCGUACUGCUAUUGGAUUGGUAUGGUUGCAUGAAAAACUGAACUUUCUUUCCAUGGGAA